rnacentral:misc_RNA from 1 species
GCUGGACGUUUCUGCUGUCCCCCUCCUCCCCUCUGCUCUCUUUUUCUCCUUGCAUGAUGAGGUUUGCUCGGCGAGGAAGCAGAGGAAGUCAACAACCACGAAAAAAAAAGAACGAAGAAGUCGGGCAGUCAAGAAGAGGUGUGCGGUGGUGUGUGGGAAGGACCAACAGGAAGAUGAGCCAGCACACGCGAACGUACGCACAGGGAGACGCAUGCACGCGAAGGUCUUAAUGGCAUAACCAAGCAAAUGCAUACGAAAACACACACACACACAAGGCAGAAAGAGCAUAGCAAGGAAUGACGCUGUCAUUCAGUGGCAUCGGAGAUCGAAACAUCCGCGUUCUUGCCCGCAAAAAAAAACGAGAAGGGGCCGCAAUGAGACACUGGAAUGGGGUAGGAGGCAACACCACAGGGGUAGGACAGCGACGGAUGCGAAGCUAGAGGGAGAAGCCAGUGCAUGAGGUACGCAUUAAGGAGGAGAAGGAGGUGUCGGCAUCUGCGCUCGAGUUUGUGGCGCACAUUGCUUCUGCUCUCUCUUCCUGUUUCCUUCAUGCCACAGGCUGCCUCUCUCUGCCUCUCUCUCGCUGCGUACCGUUCUCGAGCUCCGCGAGGUCUACCCCCUCUGCCCUAUGGCCCAUUGCUCUUUGCUUCUCUGUCGCUGCGCGACCACAUCCGGCACGACUAGGUGCGCGAACAGCACCAAACGAUAGGGAAAAAGGGGCGCCUAUGCGUAGACGGGGUGGCUGUCCCUGAAGUGCUGGCAACAGCCUCUGGCCUCCACCUUUCACGGACUGUGUGCUUUUUGUUUGCCGUGUGUGUGCUCUCAAACACGGGCAUCACUCUGCAUUGACGACAUUUUGCGUUGUUUUUUGUUGUUGCUGCUCCGCGGACGCUGCCGAAGGAAACGCAC